rnacentral:lncRNA from 1 species
UUAGUUGUUGAGUCCGUUUCUUUCGAGUCUUCGUUAUUUAUGUGCUUUUCUUAUUUUUUAACUCGUCGUAAAUUCUUUGUUUCAAGUUCGUAAGUAGAUUUUGUUUUGUGUCUUGAGUAGAUCAAACAAGAAUCUAUUCCGGCCGCCAAGUAGAAUUGACAUCUUAUUGACUACCGGAGUAUAAGCAACUUUCAAUAUUCG